rnacentral:rRNA from 1 species
UAACACGUGAGCAACCUGCCCCGAAGACUGGGAUAGCACCGGGAAACCGGUGCUAAUACCGGAUGCCCUCCUCUGGUCGCAUGGCCUAGGGAGGAAAUGAAUUUUGCUUCGGGAGGGGCUCGCGGGCUAUCAGCUUGUUGGUGAGGUAACGGCUCACCAAGGCGACGACGGCUAGCUGGUCUGAGAGGACGACCAGCCACACUGGGACUGAGACACGGUCCAG